GACGAACGCUGGCGGCGUGCCUAAUACAUGCAAGUAGGACGCAGUUGCGAACGGGCGAGCAACGCGUAGGUAACUACCUAUUAGAGGGGGAUAACUAUUGGAAAUGAUAGCUAAUACCGCAUACUAGUAGAUGGACCUGCGUUGUAUUAGCUAGUAGGUAGGGUAAUGGCCUACCUAGGCAACGAUACAUAGCCGACCUGGGAGGGUGGUCGGCCACACUGUGACCUGGAUCCGGCCCAGACUCCCACGGGGUGCAGCCGUAGGGAAUUUUCGGCAAUGGGGGGAACCAUGACCGAGCAACGCCGCGUGAGUGAAGAAGGUUUUCGGAUCGUAAAGCUCUGUUGUUAAGGAAGCGGUACUUAACCAGAAAGGGACGGCUAACUACGUGCCAGCAGCCGCGGUAAUUC
rnacentral:rRNA from 1 species